rnacentral:rRNA from 1 species
CUAACUGGAGGACCGAACCGACUAAUGUUGAAAAAUUAGCGGAUGACUUGUGGCUGGGGGUGAAAGGCCAAUCAAACCGGGAGAUAGCUGGUUCUCCCCGAAAGCUAUUUAGGUAGCGCCUCGUGAAUUCAUCUUCGGGGGUAGAGCACUGUUUCGACUAGGGGGUCAUCCCGACUUACCAACUCGAUGCAAACUACGAAUACCGAAGAAUGUUAUCACGGGAGACACACGGCGGGUGCUAACGUUCGUCGUGAAGAGGGAAACAACCCAGACCGCCAGCUAAGGUCCCAAAGUCAUAGUUAAGUGGGAAACGAAGUGGGAAGGCUCAGACAGCCAGGAUGUUGGCUUAGAAGCAGCCAUCAUUUAAAGAAAGCGUAAUAGCUCACUGGUCGAGUCGGCCUGCGCGGAAGAUGUAACGGGGCUAAACUAUGCACCGAAGCUGCGGCAGCGAUAUGUAAAUAUUGUUGGGUAGGGGAGCGUUCUGUAAGCCUGUGAAGGUGUACUGUGAGGUAUGCUGGAGGUAUCAGAAGUGCGAAUGCUGACAUAAGUAACGAUAAUGCGGGUGAAAAACCCGCACGCCGGAAGACCAAGGGUUCCUGUCCAACGUUAAUCGGGGCAGGGUGAGUCGACCCCUAAGGCGAGGCAGAAAUGCGUAGUCGAUGGGCAACGGGUUAAUAUUCCCGUACUGGUGAUAAUUGCGAUGGGGGGACGGAGAAGGUUAGGCUGGCCGGGCGACGGUUGUCCCGGUUUAAGGAUGUAGGCAGGUGAAUUAGGCAAAUCCGGUUCACUAUAUGCUGAGGUCUGAUGACGAGUCACUACGGUGGCGAAGUAGCUGAUACCCUGCUUCCAGGAAAAGCCUCUAAGCUCUAGAUUAUCAUUAAUCGUACCCCAAACCGACACAGGUGGUCAGGUAGAGAAUACUCAGGCGCUUGAGAGAACUCGGGUGAAGGAACUAGGCAAAA